rnacentral:rRNA from 1 species
UACGUAGGGUGCGAGCGUUAAUCGGAAUUACUGGGCGUAAAGCGUGCGCAGGCGGUCUGUUAAGACCGAUGUGAAAUCCCCGGGCUUAACCUGGGAACUGCAUUGGUGACUGGCAGGCUUUGAGUGUGGCAGAGGGAGGUAGAAUUCCACGUGUAGCAGUGAAAUGCGUAGAGAUGUGGAGGAAUACCGAUGGCGAAGGCAGCCUCCUGGGCCAACACUGACGCUCAUGCACGAAAGCGUGGGGAGCAGACAGG